CUCUUCCUUUCGCUUGAAGCUUCUACCAUAAGGAUCAAUUAGAUGUUGAUCAAUCAGUACAGAAAUGAAUGUGAUUCGACUAAAGGAAGAUGGUGACGUUGGUUGUGGCCUGAAGAGAAAUGACGACGAAGAAUGGUUGAUUUAGGGUUCUUCAGUUCGGGUAAUGUGAUGGAUGAUUUCGGGAUUCUGAAACCGUAAGUUUUCUUCUUCCGGUUUACACUGAUUUCUUCAUCUGGCGAACUUCCAGGAAGAUGGUGAUGGUGGCCUGAAAAGGAACGAUGACAACGGCAUGGGUUGAUUUAGUGUUUCUCAAGUGGUGGUCUUAUGAUGGUUGUUGUUUAACGCAACGACGGAAGGGCGGCGGCUAGGGUUCCACCACAUAACUUUGACCAGUUGUAGUUUCGGCCGGUUAUCGGUAGAUCAACCAGGAAUGAUAUGGUACGAGUUAUGCGAUUUGUUUGGAAUGUACAUGAUAGAUGAAACAAGUUAUGGACCAAAUCAUGUUGCUCUUGCUGAUAAAGACAUAUGAUGGAAUACAUUGUCCUUUUCCCUAACGAUAUCGAAAUGGGUUUGAAGUUUUAUGUAACUAAACCCCUGAAUAUUUCUCAAUAACCUUUCAUUUGAGAGGUCCAAGGUAUGAUACCAGAACGUUUAGGUUCAGUUUUGAAAGUAAUAGUUUUGAUCUUCCCGUUAUAUUAUUCAUCAUUUCCAUUUUCUUUAUUGAAUAAAGUUUUCAUGUUGUUCAUUACAGUGAGUGCUUUAUUCUCAAAAUAUAUGCUUUUACUUUUGACAUUUUAUGUGACCCGUUUACUUUCACAUGGAUUGAUGCAGGUUAUGUUAAAUAUCUUACGGGUCAAACGAGUAUUAUAAUAAACAUGUCAAUGAGCCAAGUAUGUGAAACAUGUAAAAAUUUUCUUAAUUCGCUAUGAUCAGUUUUUAGCUUUCUGUUUUUGAGGUCUACAAAAAGAAAAAUUGUCAUUGACAAAAUCAUAGCUUAAAGAAUGUCUUCAUAUAUUUUGUAUUUGAUUUAAUUAGAAUACACAGAGGUAUAGCCUGCAUUGUUUUUUCUUUGAUAUAAGACUUUUGACAUUUAAUUUUGUUCUAAGACCUUGAUAUAAUUCUCUUUAUAUUUAACAAUUACUUUGACUAGGGAUGAGCUCGAUACCGGUACCGAAAAUCGUCAGAUAUGAGUACUUGGACGGUACCUGUAUUUGGAGGUAAAAUUCGUUAAAAUACCCGUACCGUAAAAGGCCAAAAAGUGGGUAUGAAAUCGGUAUCAAAAAUAAUUCGGUACGGAAAAUUCGGUGCUGGUACCGGUACCCGUUACCAAAUGCCCAUCCCUAACUUUGACCACAAAAUUGUAGUUGUUACCAAAGGCUCAUCCCUAACUUUGACCACAAAAUAUAUGAUAGAAAAUUCUAACCCAGUUGCCAACUGGAUGAAAAUGUCAAUAAAAAUGAAACCUCGGGGAGUCAAGGACCCAUAUACCCAAGGUUUCAUUUUUGGACUGAAGUGGCAAAAGUAGCUUAAACUCAAGGACCAUUUUGGCAUUUUACUCAUUUGAAAAUUUAUGUUUAGGUCGGAUUGUGAUUAGAGAUGAGCUCAACCGAAAAUUAAGAAAUUUGGUUUUUGGUAUCGAAAAUGUUCGGUAUGGUAUGGUAUUGAUACCGGUAUUUGAAGGUAAAAUACCAGUACCAAAAUUGCCAAAAAAUGGGUACCGAUUCGGUACUGAAAAUAAUUCGAUACAGAAAAUUUUUUAUUAUGUUUUACUUAUCAUUUACUUCUUUGCAUUGUUUGAUUUUUUUCUAGAAAACUUUGACCUAGGAAUGUAUGCUUGCCUAAUUUGGUUGUUUAGAGGAGGGGAGAGUGAGUUUUCUGUUGGUAUAAGGUGAGCCUUGGUUCAACAGGUGAGUAAAUAUUUCCCAUUCAUAUAUUUGAUAUCCUGAAUCGAAUUAUCAUCAAGUUGAGUGUGGGAAUUUUUCCCAUCUUGAGUAGAGUUUGCUCUGGACUUCAGAGUAUAUGUUUUGAGUUGUCAAUUGAGACUUCAGUUGAUUGAUGGGCUAUCUUCAUUACAAUAUUCUUUUUUGUCAUUAGAUCAGUAUAAACUUAAAAAAGCCUUUAAAUUAUCAGUUUUAGAUAUUUAUCCAAAGAAUCAUUGGUUGUUUCAGGGUCUGAGAAAAUAUUAAAACCAAACUUAUUCCUAUAAGUGUUAAAAUACUUUUUAUCUCUGUGUUUGUGUGUUCAUAGCUAACACCUACCAAAUCAAUAUGAUGGAUUCCUUUCAGCCCUUUACAGGGUUCUUGUCUAAUUCCAUCAACUCUCAUCAUUUAAUCAAAUCUUUAUAUGUCAUUUAAUAAUAAAUUGUUUAUGAUCCGAGCUUGAAGACCCAUUGGUAUUAAGUUAUGAAAUAAUAUAUAGGGAGUAUUUGGAUUGAUCAUGCAACCACAAUGAUCUAAAUGUAUAUAUGCAUUCACAUAUGUCUUGGAUGUAGAAAUAAGACAGUUUGACUUAUAGAAGUUAACCCAAAGUAAAAGUUGAAGAAUAUCAUGUUGGGGCAUCAUGAGGCAAAGGUAAAGUAUUAAUAUUAAAGCUCCAACAUAAUGAUGAUGCUGCUGCUCAAGUCUAUGGUCGAACUACAUAACCUGUGGAAAAGCUUAUGAAUAACUCUAUAAGUGUGUUUGUAUCUCACAACUUAAAUUAUCAUUUUCUCUAUAAUAUUUAUCUUCAUCUUAUU